GAUGAACGCUGGCGGCGUGCCUAAUACAUGCAAGUCGAGCGAACAGACGAGGAGCUUGCUCCUCUGAUGUUAGCGGCGGACGGGUGAGUAACACGUGGAUAACCUACCUAUAAGACUGGGAUAACUUCGGGAAACCGGAGCUAAUACCGGAUAACAUGUUGAACCGCAUGGUUCAACAGUGAAAGACGGUCUUGCUGUCACUUAUAGAUGGAUCCGCGCCGCAUUAGCUAGUUGGUAAGGUAACGGCUUACCAAGGCAACGAUGCGUAGCCGACCUGAGAGGGUGAUCGGCCACACUGGAACUGAGACACGGUCCAGACUCCUACGGGAGGCAGCAGUAGGGAAUCUUCCGCAAUGGGCGAAAGCCUGACGGAGCAACGCCGCGUGAGUGAAGAAGGUCUUCGGAUCGUAAAACUCUGUUAUUAGGGAAGAACAAAUGUGUAAGUAACUAUGCACGUCUUGACGGUACCUAAUCAGAAAGCCACGGCUAACCACGUG
rnacentral:rRNA from 1 species